UGAACACAAUAGGAAGAAAAACCACGUAUGCUCAUCAAAUGCAAUUUUGAGAUUUUGUUUGCAUUGAAUUUUGCAUCUGGUUCUGUUGUUUUGUCUAAUUGGACCGUGGUCUCGUCCAGUAGAUGGCGCUGUGCUACUGACCUCUGGAGGAGAGAGGGGCCAACCUGCUGAUGGAGAGAAGAACGGGACACGUCUCCGCUGCCGCCCACUCCAACAGGAAGCAAUCACCAACUUUGCUCCCUCAUUUUCUUCGUGCCGACCAGCAAAGGAGACUCAGUGAUCUUCUAAGGCUUGUCAUUUUCCUGCCGACACCCAAAUUAUACAUUAAAUGAUCACUGGAAGUGUUUCACUCCACAUCUGAGGAAACCGGUGGAGAACUUCUACAAAUAUGGGCUUUCAACUGAAGAGGAAGUUGUAAUUGCAUUGCCCCAAGGGCUGGACCAGGCUUUUUGGAUAUCCGCUUUUUGAGGGCUGUGGAACACUCCAGUGCUCCUGUAACCCAGGAAUGGCUCGAGGAUAAUUUUUUCCGCCUUUCUGCUGGCAGUGCUGGGACUGAUCUGUGCCGACGCCAUGCCAAAAUGAGUGACAACGUCCCAGUGCUGCAAUGCAGUAAAUUAAUAGCGGUUCCACCGGACAGAUGCUCUUCACCUUUACACCAGCAGAGGGCGACAGCAGCGAUGAAAGCAAAUUACCCCAAUCCACUCAUCUGCCCACCAAAGCCCCACACACUUGUCCUCUAGUGCAGUUGUUUCCUCCAUUGCUGAAAUGACAGAAUGGAAAGCAGCGGAUACACCCACCUUACGCCCGCAUCAGAGUCGGUAACACCAUUCUUGCCUGUAGGGAGUGAGAAUGUGUAAAGUGGCACAAGGAUGUCUAACAGAAUGCCGUUCAUUCCAGGGCUGGGCAGAGGGAGCCCGUGCUGGUGUAGGGUUCAAGGGAAUGCUGGGAGACCGCUGGGCUUGUGUCUUGCUGACUCGGCAGAAACCCUCCGCUGAUGUCAUUCUGCUUUUCCUUCAUCACUCGUCAGAAUGAAAUCCUCCAAAACCAGUCACUUUAGUGCAGCCCAUUUCUGUGCAAAAAGUUAUAACACAGAAUGUCUCUUGAUUAUCAGUUAUUGCU